AUGGGACAAUGCAACGGCAGGCGUGGGGCAGUCCCUGUCGCUGUCGUCGACAGAACCAACGGCAGGGCGGCGAUCUGUCGGCAGGUCUGUCCAUGCUCUUUCGGCGGACCAACGCGGCACAGGGGGUGCGCGACGACGCGUGCGACGGCGCCGUGCGGGUCGCUCGGUAUCAUCGUCAUCAUCGUCGCUCUUGCCGCCGUCAUCUCUUGUGCUGUCGUCGGUUCUGGACGAGGUUGCGACGUCACGAGAGCGGGGGCGCUUGCGCGACGGUGCACUCGGUUGCGGCACAGUGGUCUCGGUCGCGCUGUCGCCAACGUGAUCAUCAUCGUCAUGAUCGUCGACGCCAUCGUCAUCGGACCCAUGGCUGAUAAUGGUCGGCGCGACGUGAGCGUCCGAGACCGAGUCUUGGUCGACGUCCGCGUCAACGCAGGGAGUCGAUGGUUCCUCCGAGAGCGGGUCCUCUUCACCCAGGCGGUAGGCGACUGGCGAUCCGGGUCCCGACGGCGCGGAAUCACAGAGGUGCCCCUUGUAUCGCACGGCCAACAGAGCCGCCGCCUCGUCGUCGGCGGGAUGCACGAUAUUCGCGACGACGUCGAUGAAUCUAGAGAGACGCGUGGUGUGGAUGCCCGACGUCCUGGUCUGUCGGCCGUGAUCGGAACCGGCCCUAGGUCGACCGGGAAGCAAUACACGGUCGAGUUGGCCCAUGCGUCGGCAGGCGGUGGCCAUCACGCGGCGCGUAACGGUGUGCUCGUCCCUGUCGCGUAGGUGGCUGGCCAUGGCGCGCACAAUGUCAAUGGCCGACAGCCAGUACCCGUCGGGCGACCGCCGUAUCAUACGGAUCGGCUCUCGGGGCAGGCUUGAAUCGGUGCCGCCGCGAUUCAACUCUGCGCUAUGCACAAUGCAAGUGGGCGACUGGUCAGUGUCGUUGGCCCUGUAGACGGUUGUCGACAUGGGUCGCGUGGUCCGCUCACGACGGCGCGAACGAAGGGGUGUGUGGGAUCGCGCGGUGCGACUGGCCGAACCGCGCACGACAACAGACAGGGGUCUCAUCGAGUCGUGGCGUGCUAGCGCUUCGACCACCUGCAUCCGCACAUCGAGAUGAUAACGCCGACGAUGAGACGUGGUCAAACAUGGACGGCAAAGACAUGUAUGCAUAUAUAUACACGAAAAAAAAGGUAUACAAUAAUUUAAAAAAAGG
rnacentral:lncRNA from 1 species